rnacentral:tRNA from 1 species
GGAGUUGUGGCUCAGCGGUAGAGCACUUGCCUGGCAUGUGUGAGGCCCUGGGUUCAAUGCUCAGCACCA